rnacentral:rRNA from 1 species
UGGGGAAUUUUGGACAAUGGGCGCAAGCCUGAUCCAGCAAUGCCGCGUGCAGGAUGAAGGCCUUCGGGUUGUAAACUGCUUUUGUACGGAACGAAACGGUCUUUUCUAAUACAGAAGGCUAAUGACGGUACCGUAAGAAUAAGCACCGGCUAACUACGUGCCAGCAGCCGCGGUAAUACGUAGGGUGCGAGCGUUAAUCGGAAUUACUGGGCGUAAAGCGUGCGCAGGCGGUUUUGUAAGACAGAGGUGAAAUCCCCGGGCUCAACCUGGGAAUUGCCUUUGUGACUGCAAGGCUUGAGUGCGGCAGAGGGGGAUGGAAUUCCGCGUGUAGCAGUGAAAUGCGUAGAGAUGUGGAGGAACACCGAUGGCGGAGGCAGCCCCCUGGGAUAACACUGACGCUCAUGCACGAAAGCGUGGGGAGCAAACA